rnacentral:rRNA from 1 species
UGGGGAAUUUUGGACAAUGGGCGAAAGCCUGAUCCAGCAAUGCCGCGUGUGUGAAGAAGGCCUUCGGGUUGUAAAGCACUUUUGUCCGGAAAGAAAUCCUUGGCUCUAAUACAGUCGGGGGAUGACGGUACCGGAAGAAUAAGCACCGGCUAACUACGUGCCAGCAGCCGCGGUAAUACGUAGGGUGCAAGCGUUAAUCGGAAUUACUGGGCGUAAAGCGUGCGCAGGCGGUUUGCUAAGACCGAUGUGAGAUCCCCGGGCUCAACCUGGGAACUGCAUUGGUGACUGGCAGGCUAGAGUAUGGCAGAGGGGGGUAGAAUUCCACGUGUAGCAGUGAAAUGCGUAGAGAUGUGGAGGAAUACCGAUGGCGAAGGCAGCCCCCUGGGCCAAUACUGACGCUCAUGCACGAAAGCGUGGGGAGCAAACAGGAUUAGAUACCCUGGUAGUCCACGCCCUAAACGAUGUCAACUAGUUGUUGGGGAUUCAUUUCCUUAGUAACGUAGCUAACGCGUGAAGUUGACCGCCUGGGGAGUACGGUCGCAAGAUU